rnacentral:tRNA from 1 species
GCUGGAAUGGCCGAGUCGUUAAGGCGAGUGAUUUGAAUUACUCAAUAUCACUUGGUGUUUCACCGCGUAGGUUCAAAUCCUGCUUCCAGCG